GAUCCUGCCGGAGGUCACCGCUAUUGGAAUACGCUUAAGCCAUGCGAGUCGAUCGGGUUCAGACCCGAGGCAUACUGCUCAGUAACACGUGGAUAACCUGCCCUAAGGUGGGGGACAAUCUCGGGAAACCGAGCAUAAUACCCCAUAGGCCUGGGACGCUGGAAUGCCCCCAGGCUGAAAGUAUUUCGCCUUAGGAUGGAUCUGCGGCCUAUCAGGUCGUAGUGAGGGUAACGGCCUCACUAGCCGACGACGGGUACGGGCCUUGAAAGAGGUUGCCCGGAGUUGGACUCUGAGACACGAGUCCAGGCCCUACGGGGCGCAGCAGGCGCGAAAACUGCGCAAUGCGCGAAAGCGCGACGCGGGAAUUCCAAGUGCUACUACUUUGUAGUAGCUGUUCGAGAUCCUAAAAAGAUUUUGAAGUAAGGGCUGGGUAAGACGGGUGCCAGCCGCCGCGGUAAUACCCGCAGCCCGAGUGGUGAUCGUUAUUAUUGGGUCUAAAGCGUCCGUAGCCAGCCUGAUAAAUCCCUAGGUAAAUCGAACGGCUUAACCGUUCGGCUUCUGGGGAGACUGUCAGGCUCGGGACCGGGAGAGGUUUGAGGUACUCUUGGGGUAGAGGUGAAAUUCUGUAAUCCUAAGGGGACCACCAGUGGCGAAAGCGUCAAACUUGAACGGAUCCAACGGUGAGGGACGAAGGCCAGGGGCGCAAACCGGAUUAGAUACCCGGGUAGUCCUGGCUGUAAACGCUGUGGGCUUGGUGUUGGGGGUCCCACGAGGGCACCCAGUGCCGGAGAGAAGUUGUUAAGCUCACCACCUGGGGAGUACGGUCGCAAGACUGAAACUUAAAGGAAUUGGCGGGGGAGCACCGCAACGGGAGGAGCGUGCGGUUUAAUUGGAUUCAACGCCGGA
rnacentral:rRNA from 1 species